UACUAGAGUAGCACUCGCAUAUCAAUAAGCGGAGGAAAAGAAACUAACAAGGAUUCCCCUAGUAACGGCGAGUGAAGCGGGAAGAGCUCAAAUUUGAAGUCUUAAAGGGUUUCCCUUUACGAAUUGUAGUUUAAAGAAGUGUUUUCUGUUGAGGUUUUGGUAAAAGUUCUUUGGAAUAGGACAUCAUAGAGGGUGAGAAUCCCGUAUUUGACCUUUACUUUCAACUUUGUGAUACACUUUCAAAGAGUCGGAUUGUUUGGGAAUGCAGUCCAAAAUGGGUGGUAAAUUUCAUCUAAAGCUAAAUAUUGGCGAGAGACCGAUAGCGAACAAGUACCGUGAGGGAAAGAUGAAAAGAACUUUGAAAAGAGAGUUAAACAGUACGUGAAAUUGUCAAGAGGGAAGCGUUUGACACCAGUGUUGUUUUUCUGAAAAUCAAUUAAAGAACUGUUUAUGCUAAGCUGUUUAGACUUUAUCAGCUAACUGUUUAGUUUUGAGCUUUUCUUUAAUGCACUUUUCAGUUAACAAGUCAACAUCAAUUUCUUUUGCUGUAAAAAAGCUUGAGGAAGGUGGCUUGAGAUUCGUCUUAAGUGUUUAUAGCCUCUUGCCUAUGCAGUCGGAGAGAUUGAGGUCUGCAGCGUAGAUCCUUCGGGGCUAAAUGCAUUUGUGCUAAGUUAUAGCAUUUUAUAGACAACUUGUUGACUAUGAUUUGUCUUGUAGCUUACUCGCUUAUGUUAUUUUACCUACGCUUAGGAUGUUGAGUCAUCACACAUCUCU
rnacentral:rRNA from 1 species